GACGAACCGUCCAAACGUUAUUCGGAAUCACUGGGCUUAAAGGGCGCGUAGGCGGCCGAGCGGGUCGCGGGUGAAAUCCCCCAGCUUAACUGGGGAACUGCCCUCGAUACCACUGCGGCUCGAGGAAGGAAGGGGCAAUCGGAACUGUCGGUGGAGCGGUGGAAUGCGUAGAUAUCGGGAGGAACACCAGUGGCGAAGGCGGUUGCCUGGAGCUUUGCUGACGCUGAGGCGCGAAAGCGUGGGGAGCGAUCCGG
rnacentral:rRNA from 1 species